rnacentral:rRNA from 1 species
UGUUUUGUUUUGUUUUUGUGAUGUUAGUAUUGCAUACUGUUGGAGGAGAAUUUUGUUGUUGUACGAAUAAUGGAAAUUACUUGUAAAUGUUUUUUUUUUUUUGUUGUUUUAAAACAAAAAAUAGAAAUUUAUGGGAUUGAAAAGGCGGAAGUGAUGAUAUCUGUUUUUUUUGUUUUGUAUUGGAAAGUUAUAUUGUUUGAUUUGGUUGGUUUUAUUUUUAUGUAGAGUUGGAAGUUCUUGAUUUUUUUUGUGUGUAAUGACGUUUUUUUUUGGUUGUUUUUAAUUGGGUUGUUUUAUUAUUAAUUUUUUAAUAAUUUUAUAAUUUUUAAUUUAGUAGAAUGUUGUUUAGGAGGUGUGUUUUUUUUAAUUUUAUUGAAAGAACUAGAAAUGGGAUCAGAUGUUUGUUAAAGACUUAGGUUUUUAUUUUAAGCUGGCCUCUGCCCGGUGAGGGGUUUUAACGGCAGCCUUAACGUGAGGGUGAGAAGGUAGCAAAAUGAUUUGUGUUUUUAUUGGAUUCCGGUAUGAAUGGGGUUAAUUGGUUUCGGUUUUUUUUUUAUUUUUGUUGAAUUAGAUUUUUAAUUAAGAAUUAUUGUGUUUAUUUAAACUAAGAUAAGUCUUCGGAAAUUUUUUUUUGUGUUGUUUGGGGAAAAUGUGUCUGUAUUUUUUUUAAUCUUUUUGAUAAUUGUUAAAAAUUACUCCGGAGUUAACAGAAUGGCGUUUUUGAUAUAGUUGUUAUAUUAGAAAGAGCAUUACAUCGAUGUUGUAUUUUUGUUAUUAAAUAGGUAGAGGGAUUUGUAUUUGAGACUGUUCUUCUUUUAUGAAAUAAAACGUGAUAUUAGUUUAGUUCAUUGUGAAAUAGAAUUGUUUAUCUAGUUAAUUAAGUUUGGGUUUACUGCUUAGUACGAAAGGAAAGG